rnacentral:lncRNA from 1 species
UCCCCCAUGCAGCUCCCGGCUGGGGGGGCCCGGGGCUCAGCGGCGCCGGCGGGGCUGUUCGGGCCCAUCCAGCUGCGGGGGCACCAUGGCCGGGCCCGGCGGGGGGAGCUGCGGCUGCUGUGGCCCCGGCCCAAGGGCAGCGUGCCCGCUCCUGCGGCACAGCCCGGGGCGGAGGUGGCGGCGGGGUGGGGGCUGAGUCCGGGAUGGUCGGAGAGCAGCCGGCACCGGCACACGGGCACCGAGCACCGAGGGGGAAAGCGAGAGGGGCGGCGCUAACGGGAGCAGGGGGGGCCGGCCGGGGCUGGGGCGCUGUCCAUUCGGCCCUGCGGCCCCGGCCCGGGCACGGAGGCUCCCCUGGGCACCGGAGCUCUGAUCUGCCUCCUCCUGACUCGGUUCACCGCAGUCCUCUGCCUCUCUCUCCCAUGUGCUGCUCGGCUCCCCGGCAGGCGAAGCUAUGCAGAGCGUGCGCGCGUGUCAAAGAAUUGGAAACUAAAGGGAUGUCCCUCAAUUGGAGAAUGGCUGAACAAAUUGUGUUAUAUGAUGGUGAUGUAAUACUAUUGUUCUGUAAGGAAUAAUGAACAGAAUGACAUCAGAAAGAGCUGGAAAGACCUACAUGAACUGAUAUAGAGGGAAAUAAGCUGAACCAGGAGAUCAUUAUACACAGUAACUGCAACAUGGAACAAUCAAGACCUUGCUACUAACAGCAAUACCACAAUACAGAAAACUUUUGAAAGACUUAUGAAAAAGAAUGCCAUCCAUCUCCAAAGAAAGAACUGUUGGAGUAGGAAUGCUGAUGAAAACAUAUGGUUUAUCCCUUGUUUAUUUGGGUAUAUUUUAGAGGUUUUGGUUUUAUAAGAUUAUUCACUUGCAAAAAUGAAUAAUAUGCAAAUCUGUUUUUCGUGGUAAUACAGGUAUAACCCAGACUGAAUUGCUUGCCACCUCUGGGAGGUGGGGACAGAAGAAGAGAGGGAGACAAUUUGAAUCAUCCAAUUUUGGAAAAGCUAUGUGGAAAUUUGUUAUUAAAAUAAAAAUAAUAAAAACCUUUUUUUUUUUAAAGAA